rnacentral:tmRNA from 1 species
GGGGACGUUUAGGAUUCGACAGGGAUAGGUCGUGCUUACGUUGCGAGUCGAGGGGGUCGGCCUCGUUAAAACGCCAAAGCCUAUAAUUGGCAAAGAAAACAACAACUUCGCAGUAGCUGCCUAAUAGCACUCUGCGGUUCCACCCUCCAUCGCCCAUGUGGUAGGAUCUGGGACUCACUCUAAGUGGGCUACGCCGGUUGCCCCCCGUCUGAGGGCGAAGGAAGAGAACAAUCAGACUAGCCACGCCGAAGCCUGUUGUUGGGCUGACACGUUGGCGAACUGCUAAUACAGCAACUACACUCGUAGAAGCGUAAGUGUCGUUAUUUCUGGACGUGGGUUCGAUUCCCACCGUCUCCACCA